rnacentral:rRNA from 1 species
UACGUAGGGACCGAGCGUUGUCCGGAAUCAUUGGGCGUAAAGAGCGUGUAGGCGGCCUUUUAAGUCCUGCGUGAAAUCCUGCGGCUCAACCGCAGACGGUCGUGGGAAACUGGAAGGCUAGAGUGCGGGAGAGGAGAGUGGAAUUCCCAGUGUAGCGGUGAAAUGCGCAGAUAUCGGGAAGAACACCCGUGGCGAAGGCGGCUCUCUGGAACGCAACUGACGCUGAGACGCGAAAGCGUGGGGAGCAAACAGG